rnacentral:lncRNA from 1 species
CCCCAUGUUCUGCCUUGAGGUAACAAAUUAACAAAUAAAUGAAUAAAUAAGGUAAUACACUUGGCUGUCCUCAGAGGUUUCCUCUUGUAGCCUACUUUGUUCACUGAAAGUGGGGGGAUGGGUUACUGUUUGAUGCUCAAAAUCCCCAGACUAAUUUGAAGUGCAGAGACCCCAAACACCAGGACAGCGUCUGUACACCAGAGUACAGAACUCUCUCAGAGCUGCUCCGAGAGAUCUACUUCGAGAUCUGCUCUGAAACUUUUGCAACGUUAUUGGACAUUUUGUUACAUCUAUUAUUUUGUUGAUGAGUGCUCCAAUUUAGAAAAUGGAGAAAACAGGAGGGGGAAAGGAAAGCCUUCAUGUGUGGUGGCUAGCUAGCUACUCUGCAGCAGCAGCUACAGGUUCUGUUUGUGAUGUUAGGCUAACUUUAUCUACUCUAUAACCGUCCAGGUGGAGCUGCUGGAGAAGGGACAUCUGGUCUCUGUUCCACACCUCUCCCCUCUACGGAGCUUCCUGCAGGUCUAGAGACAUCCAUCCCUCCAGCUCCCUCCAGUGAAACACAGCCUGCAGGUCUAGAGACAUCCAUCCCUCCAGCUCCCUCCAGUGAAACACAGCCUGCAGGUCUAGAGACAUCCAUCCCUCCAGCUCCCUCCAGUGAAACACAGCCUGCAGGUCUAGAGACAUCCAUCCCUCCAGCUCCCUCCAGUGAAACACAGCCUGCUGAAGAAACUACACCACUAAUGUCCAGUGAAUCUCCUGCACCCACCGGGGACCAACAAGAACACACUUCAAGAACAACUACCCCUGAUGUAACUAUGGAUGGUCAUGAUGAUGACCAGAGUCUGGAUGCCCUCGCCUACCGGUCUGGUACUGGACAGCUAGACAUUGAGAUGGGUCCAGUCCAAACACUGCCCAAAGAUCGUAACAGGAUUCUUUAAUAUCGCUGUUCGACCCAAGUUUCCCAUCGACCGUGAUUCACUAUUGAAGGGGAAUGACAUUACAGGAUACAAAGUAAUGCAGUUCGAGAAAUUUUGGAUCAACAUGAAAGUGAAUCUGAUGGUUCAAACUCAGAAACUAGGGGAGGAAAUACACCAGUCUGAUUCCUUCCUGAUGCCAGCUUUCACAGGAGAAGAGGCGUGGUGUGUUUAACAUCAUUAUUUGAUCAAUCCUCACAUUAUUCUUCUAUAUGUGGCUCACAGAGCAAAGAGAAGCGAGGUGUUAAUAAAUAGUGUGAGGUGUGCUCUGUGAGGCGUCCUGGGGUAUGAUGGGUAACCUUGGCUUGGGUCCAAGCUCCACCUCUCUUGGGCGACCACCAAGGAAGACGAUAUUUUCUUUAUGAUAUAUUUUUUUGCAACGUUACUAACGUUCCUCAAUAUUUUGCAAACGAUGACACGUACAUAUUUCACCCAUGCAAGUAUCUUUUCUUGUUGUUUUUCUGCUAAACUUUUAGUAACCACUAAUCACUUUUUUGAAGGCUUUUGACCGUAAUCAUUUAGGGAAUAAAAUUUAAAAUAACAGAUGCAAAACCUUUAAUGAAAAUAUUUGCCAAUUUACUGCACUGUAUUUCAAUGAUGAUUUCUUAUUUACAUUUAAUUUUUUUUUUUUUUUUUUAAGUAAUUCCUGUACUUCUUUUUUACUACUUGCCUUGAGUUGUUCAGGAAGCAUUUGGGGUGCUGGGAUUAGCAUUACAUGGCCUUCUUUCAUGUGUCAGUCAAACAUUGUUAGUUACAUACUAUUGUUUGUGAUGAAGUGGAGUUAGAGAGGGCUGGUUGUUGGGGUAUGCUUUUAUGAGAGCACACUAAUAAAGGGUUGAACAUUGCGUCUUAGUUUGUGGUCUGUUUGUGACAAGGGACCGGGAGACUCCACCUCAUAAAGUCCGGUCUCACAGGAAGAUUGCAAAAACACAAAAAGGGCACAAGGACGCUGUAGACUGAGACAGGGAAACAAUCCAAACAAAGGAAGAAAAGACAGGUCACCUUCUGAAGAGAAGUCAGGGAGCAGGCAGAGGACAGAAACCCAGGCAAAGGCCAAAAACAGGCAGGAACCAGACAGGCAGGAACCAGGCAGGCUGGAACCAGGCCGGCAGGAGCCAGGCAGGCAGACUACGGGGCCUUUUGACCUGACUAGGUAAGCCAAGACCAAACGUAAGAUCAAUCUAACAAGGUGGCACUGACAGCCCAGGAUAUACAUAGGCUGAGUAGUUAACACACAAUGAGGAACAGGUGAGAAGGAAACAGGGCGGGAAACUAACACCGGCA